GCUAAAGCAUGGAGAAAUCUGGAAAUCUAGAGAGGGCUGAGAUGUUAUGAUGUUAUGGGAGCCUGAGACACGGCUACCACAUCCAAGGAAGGCAGCAGGCACGCAAAUUACCCAAUCCCGAUACAGGGAGGUGG
rnacentral:ncRNA from 1 species